rnacentral:tRNA from 1 species
GGGGGCGUAGUCUAAUGGCAGGGCGUUGGUUUCCAAAACUAAAAGCGCGGGUUCGAUUCCUGCCGCCCUCG